rnacentral:rRNA from 1 species
UACGGAGGGUGCAAGCGUUAUCCGGAUUCACUGGGCGUAAAGCGUGCGCAGGCGGUUUUGCAAGCCGGAUGUGAAAUCCCCGGGCUUAACCUGGGAAUGGCAUUUGGGACUGCAAGGCUGGAGUGCGGCAGAGGAGACUGGAAUUCCUGGUGUAGCAGUGAAAUGCGUAGAUAUCAGGAGGAACACCGAUGGCGAAGGCAGGUCUCUGGGCUGACACUGACGCUCAUGCACGAAAGCGUGGGGAGCAAACAGG